ACCGACAGAGUUAUAGGCAAAACUUGGUGCAAAAAUGAGGAAAAUUUUACAUUUUCUCAAACAGGGUAUGGAACUUGGUUCCUCGAAUAACUUCCGACACAGACAUCUGAGGGCAUGGCCGUCCAAGAAGAAAAUGUAGCCAUUGGUGUCAUCUACCGACCACAGGUAAAAGAUUGGCGAUCCGGUGAAUACCGACAGAGUUAUAGGCAAAACUUGGUGCAAAAAUGAGGAAAAUUUUACAUUUUCUCAAACAGGGUAUGGAACUUGGUUCCUCGAAUAACUUCCGACACAGACAUCUGAGGGCAUGGCCGUCCAAGAAGAAAAUGUAGCCAUUGGUGUCAUCUACCGACCACAGGUUAAAGAUUGGCGAUCCGGUGAAUACCGACCGAGUUAUAGGCAAAACUUGGUGCAAAAAUGAACCUUUUGAAAUUUUCAAAUUUUUAUAUUUUGUUUAUUUUUUUCUGAUUUUUUAUUCUUUUUUUUAAUUUAAAGCAUUAUUUGAGUGAAAAGAAACUUAUUUGAACCAAUUGGCAUUAAAAUAAAUCAAUUUAAUUUUUUUGCAAAAUUUCUCAAAAAAACGUAAGGGGUAAGCCUUAUGAAAUUUUCGAGUUGAAAAUUGUUUGUAAAUUUUUUUCUGAUUUUUUAUUCUUUAUUUAACUUAAAGCAUUAUUUGAGUGAAAAGAAACUUAUUGCAACAAAUUCGCAUUAAAAUAUAUCACGUUUAUAAAUUUUGCUACAUUGCUUAAAAAUGAGGAAAAUUUUACGUUUUCUCAAACAGGGUAUGGAACUUGGUUUCUCGAAUAACUUUUGGCACAGACAUCUGAGGGCAUGGCCGUCCAAGAAGAAAAUGUAGCCAUUGGUGUCAUCUACCGACCACAAGUUGAAAAUUGUCGAUCCGUUGGAUACCGACCGAGUUAUAGGCAAAACUUGGUGCAAAAAUGAAAAUUUUGAAAUUUUCAAAUUUUUAUAUUUUUUUUUUAUUUUGUUCUGAUUUUUUAUUCUUUUUUUAAUUUAAACCAUUAUUUGAGUGAAAAGAAACUUAUUUGAACCAAUUGGCAUUAAAAUAAAUCAAUUUAAUUUUUUUUGCAAAAUUUCUCAAAAAAAACGUAAGGGGUAAGCCUUAAGAAAUUUUCGAGUUGAAAAUUGUUUGUAAAUUUUUUUCUGAUUUUUUAUUCUUUAUUUAACUUAAAGCAUUAUUUGAGUGAAAAGAAACUUAUUGCAACAAAUUCGCAUUAAAAUAUAUCACGUUUAUAAAUUUUGCUACAUUGCUUAAAAAUGAGGAAAAUUUUACAUUUUCUCAAACAGGAUAUGGAACUUGGUUCCUCGAAUAACUUCUGGCACAGACAUCUGAGGGCAUGGCCGUCCAAGAAGAAAAUGUAGCUAUUGGUGUCAUCUACCGACCACAGGUAAAAGAUUGGCGAUCCGGUGAAUACCGACAGAGUUAUAGGCAAAACUUGGUGCAAAAAUGAGGAAAAUUUUACAUUUUCUCAAACAGGGUAUGGAAUUUGGUUCCUCGAAUAACUUCCGACACAGACAUCUGAGGGCAUGGCCGUCCAAGAAGAAAAUGUAGCCAUUGGUGUCAUCUACCGACCACAGGUAAAAGAUUGGCGAUCCGGUGAAUACCGACAGAGUUAUAGGCAAAACUUGGUGCAAAAAUGAACCUUUUGAAAUUUUCAAAUUUUUAUAUUUUUUUAAUUUUUUCUGAUUUUUUAUUCUUUUUUUAACUUAAAGCAUUAUUUGAGUGAAAAGAAACUUAUUUGAACCAAUUGGCAUUAAAAUAAAUCAAUUUAAUUUUUUUGCAAAAUUUCUCAAAAAAAACGUAAGGGGUAAGCCUUAAGAAAUUUUCG